rfam:Ruminococcus sp. CAG:9 genomic scaffold, scf180
GAUGGCAGGCCCAUCGGAACCGCUAUAUAGGUGGAGGUUUCAAAUCACUCUGAGGUGCUGUAGUCAAAAGCUAUGGUACUGAGCGUCAGAGAAAAGGCUGUACAAAACAGUCAGGU